UUACGGUCAUAUCACGCUGAAACAACAUGUUCUCGUAUGAUCAUCGAUGUUAAGCAACGUCAAGCCUGGUCAGUAUCCAGAUGGGUGACCGCUUUGGAAUACUAGAUGCUGUAAG